rnacentral:misc_RNA from 1 species
GUGAAGAACGCAGCGAAAUGCGAUACGUAAUGUGAAUUGCAGAAUUCAGUGAAUCAUCGAAUCUUUGAACGCAUAUUGCGCUCUCUGGUAUUCCGGAGAGCAUGCUUGUUUGAGUAUCAGUAAACACCUCAACUCCCUUUUCUUUUUUGAAAUGGGAGCUGGACUUGAGUGAUCCCAACACUUUUCUCACUGGAAAGUGGCGGGUCACUUGAAAUGCAGGUGCAGCUGGACUUUUCUCUGAGCUAUAAGCAUAUCUAUUUAGUCUGCCUAAAAAACAGAUUAUUACCUUUGCUGCAGCUAACAUAAAGGAGAUGAGUUCUUGUGCUGACUGAUGCAGGAUUCACAGAGACAGCUUUGCGGCUGACUUUGUAAACUCGAUCUCAAAUCAAGUAAGACUACCCGCUGAACUUAAGCAUAUCAAUAAGCGGAGGA